rnacentral:rRNA from 1 species
AUUGAACGCUGGCGGCAUGCCUUACACAUGCAAGUCGAACGGCAGCAUGAUCUAGCUUGCUAGAUUGAUGGCGAGUGGCGAACGGGUGAGUAAUACAUCGGAACGUGCCCUGUAGUGGGGGAUAACUAGUCGAAAGAUUAGCUAAUACCGCAUACGACCUGAGGGUGAAAGUGGGGGACCGCAAGGCCUCAUGCUAUAGGAGCGGCCGAUGCCUGAUUAGCUAGUUGGUGAGGUAAAGGCUCACCAAGGCGACGAUCGGUAGCUGGUCUGAGAGGACGAUCAGCCACACUGGGACUGAGACACGGCCCAGACUCCUACGGGAGGCAGCAGUGGGGAAUUUUGGACAAUGGGCGAAAGCCUGAUCCAGCAAUGCCGCGUGUGUGAAGAAGGCCUUCGGGUUGUAAAGCACUUUUGUCCGGAAAGAAAUGGCUCUGGUUAAUACCUGGGGUCGAUGACGGUACCGGAAGAAUAAGGACCGGCUAACUACGUG